rnacentral:rRNA from 1 species
CGUAGGGGGCGAGCGUUGUCCGAAGUUACUGGGCGUAAAGAGCGCGUAGGCGGGUCUUUAAGUGAGUGGUGAAAGGUUAGGGCUCAACCCUAACACUGCCUUUCAUACUGGGGACCUUGAGUGCGGGAGAGGCGAGUGGAAUGGUCGGUGUAGCGGUGAAAUGCGUAGAUAUCGAUCGGAACACCCAUGGCGAAGGCAGCUCGCUGGCCUGCAACUGACGCUGAGGCGCGAAAGCGUGGGGAGCAAACAGGAUUAGAUACCCUGGUAGUCCACGCCGUAAACGAUGAGUGCUAGGUGUCAGGGGUAUCGACCCCCCUGGUGCCGCAGCUAACGCAAUAAGCACUCCGCCUGGGGAGUACGGCCGCAAGGUUG